rnacentral:rRNA from 1 species
UACAGAGGUCUCAAGCGUUGUUCGGAUUCAUUGGGCGUAAAGGGUGCGUAGGCGGCCUUCUAAGUCGAACGUGAAAUCCCCGGGCUCAACCCGGGAACUGCGUCCGAUACUGGAAGGCUUGAAUCCGGGAGAGGGAUGUGGAAUUCCAGGUGUAGCGGUGAAAUGCGUAGAUAUCUGGAGGAACACCGGUGGCGAAGGCGACAUCCUGGACCGGUAUUGACGCUGAGGCGCGAAAGCCAGGGGAGCAAACGGG